CAGUCGCCGCGGUAAUACAGAGGGUGCGAGCGUUAAUCGGAUUUACUGGGCGUAAAGCGUGCGUAGGCGGCUUCUUAAGUCGGAUGUGAAAUCCCUGAGCUUAACUUAGGAAUUGCAUUCGAUACUGGGAAGCUAGAGUAUGGGAGAGGAUGGUAGAAUUCCAGGUGUAUCGGUGAAAUGCGUAGAGAUCUGGAGGAAUACCGAUGGCGAAGGCAGCCAUCUGGCCUAAUACUGACGCUGAGGUACGAAAGCAUGGGGAGCAAACAGGAUUAGAUACCCCCGUAGUCCCUGUCUCUUAUAC
rnacentral:rRNA from 1 species